rnacentral:rRNA from 1 species
GUGGGGAAUCUUCCGCAAUGGGCGAAAGCCUGACGGAGCAACGCCGCGUGGGUGACGAAGGCCUUCGGGUUGUAAAGCCCUGUCUUAUGGGAAGAAGAAAGUGACGGUACCAUAGGAGGAAGCCACGGCUAACUACGUGCCAGCAGCCGCGGUAAUACGUAGGUGGCAAGCGUUGUCCGGAAUUACUGGGCGUAAAGGGCGAGUAGGCGGUUAUUUAAGUCAGGUGUGAAAACUCUCGGCUCAACCGGGAGAUUGCACCUGAUACUGGAUGGCUUGAGUGCAGGAGAGGGCAGUGGAAUUCCUAGUGUAGCGGUGAAAUGCGUAGAUAUUAGGAGGAACACCAGUGGCGAAGGCGGCUGCCUGGACUGUAACUGACGCUGAGGCGCGAAAGCGUGGGGAGCAAACAGGAUUAGAAACCCCUGUAGUCC